CACGUAGGGCGCAAGCGUUGUCCGGAAUUACUGGGCGUAAAGGGCUCGUAGGUGGCCAACUAAGUCGGACGUGAAAUCCCUCAGCUUAACUGGGGAACUGCGUCCGAUACUGGAUGGCUCGAGUUUGGGAGAGGGAAGUGGAAUUCCCGGUGUAGUGGUGAAAUGCGUAGAUAUCGGGAGGAACACCUGUGGCGAAAGCGGCGCACUGGACCACAACUGACGCUGAGGCGCGAAAGCUAGGGGAGCAAACAGG
rnacentral:rRNA from 1 species